rnacentral:rRNA from 1 species
UACAGAGGUCCCAAGCGUUGUUCGGAUUCACUGGGCGUAAAGGGUGCGUAGGUGGCCGGGUAAGUCUGACGUGAAAUCUCCAAGCUCAACUUGGAAACUGCGUCGGAUACUAUCCGGCUAGAGGAUCGGAGGGGAGACUGGAAUACUUGGUGUAGCAGUGAAAUGCGUAGAUAUCAAGUGGAACACCAGUGGCGAAGGCGAGUCUCUGGACGAUUCCUGACACUGAGGCACGAAAGCCAGGGGAGCAAACGGG